CUGGCAUCCCAUCCAGCGUGACCACUGCUUUGUAUGCUGCAGUUCCCAGUAUAGGCUACAGGCUUACCACAGCCCUGUAAUAUGUAACAUGUUGGCGCAGAGUGACCCGACAACAGACGUCACGUCACAAGGAAAACGCCAGGCAAAGGUGGGAUGUUUUCACGAACAAUUGGCCGUGAGAUGUUAGCGUGACGGCGCCUCCUCAGCGUGGGAUUGAAAUGGAAUGCAGCUCAUGCGGCAGGCUUCGGCGAUGGAGCGUCCAUCGGCGAUGGAGCGAGGACAGGACCAACCAGCUUAUAUCGCCCUGAUGCCUCUGCAAGGCCUGAGCUCAGUGGAGUACAAUCUUUCUCCUAGGCUUUUCAGUGUUCGAAUUAACCCCCCCCCCCCAUUUUACACCUAAUACUGUUGUCACCCAGCAGACCUCCCCAAAGACUAAAGACAUCUAUAAACAUACAGAAGAAUUAGCAUUUUAUUAACAUACUGCAAUGCUGGGCGUUAGCCAACAGAAGCAAUGACUCCGCUAUCUGCCAAUCAGCAGGACAGAGGCCGAUGACCGCUUCAUCGAUUAGCUUCUGACAGGGUGACGUAGGCCAACUCUGCCAAGAUCCCAUUUUGUAGAGCUAAGCGUAUUUUCAAACCCAAGCCCAAGGACGGGCACCUCUUCAAACGUGGCAAACAUCACUCUGAUUAAUGGAGUUCAAUCUGUUAUGUCUGGAGAUGCAGCCCCCUCCGAUGCACCCCGAUGGUUUUCUGCAUUCCGAUUUCCGUAAAUCCACUCAAAUAAAUGAAGCAGGUUGUA